CAACAUCCAUUUGUUGGGGACAAAUAAAAUGAAUAUGAGUGUCAACCCCACCAGCUGUUAAGAUUUUUCCCUCUCCUGAGAUGACUUCAGUACCAGCUCCAAUGACUAGGUUAGCGUCAACGUUAUCCAUAAUAUCUGGGUUUCCGCUUUUCCCUACCCCUACAAUUCUCCCGUUUUUCACUCCAACGUCAGCUUUUAUAAUACCUGUAUGAUCAAUCACAAUUACAUUUGUGAUCACUAAAUCAAGGGCUCCUUCCUUAGCUGUUAAUCGUCCAUUCUGUCCCAUCCCAUCACGAAUCG
rnacentral:sRNA from 1 species